rnacentral:lncRNA from 1 species
CCGCACUGGAGCGGCUUCUCCCGCUGCCGUCUUCGCGCAGGGUUGAGUUUGUGCAUCGAUUGUGAACACAACAGGCAGCAGGCUAUAAUGGUGGUCCUGGCUGGAGUAGUUUUCACAGACUUCAGUAAUCUGUGGAGAUGAACGGGCAGUUCUCUGUAGUUUUCACAGAUCACUGCCAGUUCGUUUUGAGGCCUUCAGGAGUGAAGACCUGGCUCAUCAUCACUCUUUGUUGUUUUGUUAAAUUUAUUUACACCCUACUUUAUUCCAGAGGAAAGGAUUUAACGUAGUUUACAUAAAUGUGUACAUCAGGGUAAAUUAAAAAUAAGUACAGAGAAAAAUAGGACAAAAGAAAACCGUGAGUGUGAAAGAUAAGAUUAAGCCAGCAGUUUUGUAUGCAAAAUGCAUGGUGUAAGGUCCUAUUGGUUUGCUGGAGGUAGGCCACACAUAUGACUCUCAGUUUUCUAGCAACCAAGAAAAAGAUCAGUUGCAAUCGGAGUAGGUGUUUUGGCUAAGCUGGAACUAGGACUUGAAUAUAGCAGCUUGUAGAGUUAUACCACUUGCCCAAAUCUCUUCCAUGAGCCUCUUUAAGUGUAACAGAAUGCCUGGGAGCACGUAAAUGCUCCUACUUAGAUGCCUACUUAGCCUCUAAUUUUCAUGGGGCCCAUGAAUCCCAUGAAAAAGAACUUUGAACCCUGUCCACAAUUAGAGUUCAGGUAUACGCAGACAUGUUUAAAGACAAGGGACACCCAAAGGAAAGAUUGCACAGAGAGAAAGUGAGCAUCCGAGAGAAAAUCACCACAAGUGAGGCAGAGGGAGGCCGGUCUCAGCAGAGUUUUGGAGGUCGUGAGAAGAAGAGGUAGGAGAUAGGAGAGUGGUUCCGAGUACUUGCCUGCUGAUGUUACCUUCUCCACCCCCACCAGGUUUUCCAGUGCCUGGAGUCUUGGGCAGGAAUGGGCCACUGUAAGAAAGAGCUUUAUCACUAGGGCCUCAGCCAACUUUUCUGUGGGAUAUCCCUCCAAAAUAAUUAAGAGUUCAGAAUGCUUCAGAUUUUGAAGUGAAACUGAUAAUGUCUGUGCCUAUCAGAUAAAGGCAAACCAGUGCUCAGAGGAACCCAACCAUCUCUGAAUUGAGACCAGAGAGCUGUCUCUAUGGAUAGUCCUUAGAGAAGGCAUUUCGGAACACAGUAAACAGCAGCCUGGUGACUCCGAUUACAGGGCCAGUUGCCUUUGUUACAAUAAAAGCAAGUCAUCUACACAGAUUUUUCCUACCAGGAAGAGCAUGUGCUGACCAACAGACAUGAAUUUCAGCCUGGUAGUUACAACAUUCACAGGAGUUUCACUCGUUGCCCAGGCUGGAGUGCAACGGCGCGAUCUCAGCUCACUGCAACCUCCGCCUCCCCAGUUCAAGCGAUUCUCCUGCCUCAGCCUCCUGAGUCACUGGAAUUACGGGCGCCUGACACCACGCCCAGCUAAUUUUUUGUAUUUUUAGUAGACAUGGGGUUUCACUAUGUUGGCCAGGCUGGUCUCGAACUCCUGACCUCAUGAUCCUCCUGCCUCAGCCUCCCAAAGCACUGGGAUUACAGGUGUGAGCCACUGUGCCUGGUCCAUUAAAAACAUUUGUAAAGCUAUGGUGUUGAUAAAGUAUUAUGAAAGACUGCAAAAAAAGAUGGCUAAUUUUUAGUUAUUAUUGCACAUGUUUAGAGGAGCUAAUGACAUUUUCUAUGAUUAAUAAAAGACAUUAUUUAUGUUUUUAUUUAUGUAUUCCACAACAUUUAUUUUAUUUUCUCCAUUUCAGGAAAACCACUAUGUUGUUACAAUAAAGAUUUUCAUGUAAUUUGUGUUCAAUUGAUAGUAAUAAUGUAACAAGUUAAAAAUGAAGGUAAUUGUGUUUAAAAUUUGAGCAUAUUUUCAUCAAAAUGUAAGUUAAAGUGAUUGUAAAUUUUAAGAUCAUAAUUACUUUGUAUAUCUUCAAGAAAAUUAUUGUUUUAAAAUAUUUAUGCCUAUUAAAAUUAGAAGGCAAAAUAAAAAUAUAUGAAUACCAACAUUUUAAAUAAAAAUCAUUUAAAUAA